rnacentral:tRNA from 1 species
GACCGCGUAGCUCAGUUGGCAGAGCAUUGGGCUAGUAUUCCAAAGGUCGUAGUUUCGAAUCCCACCGUGGCCA